GAAGUACUUUCAUGGAGUGCUGCUUUGUCACUGAGGAGAGGACGGUGCCUCUGCCAUGCUCUUGGUGCUGGGCUUCUUCCUGAGCAUCCGGAGCUCACAAGGGGCUUUUCUUCUGUGCUGCGUGCUGGUGAGGCUAACUGAGCUGUGAGGAGGCUGUGUGGAGCCAGGAUUGGAGUUGGAUUCAAUGAUCCUUACGGCUCUCAUACCCGACUCCACACAGCAGAGAAGGCUCUGCUUCUUCUAAUUAAGAAGAGAAUUUUGAAAUAUCUGCUGAAUUCUUGACCUUCAGAAUUCCCUCCGCCAGUGUUCCUCUGAUCUGGGCUCUCAAGGGCUUCCACUGUUCGUGUGAAAAUAGCCUCCAAAGGGAGUGGCUGUCAUUGUUUGGUGCCUCCUCGCUGCAGGCCCUGCUGUCCCCCCAGGGUGAUGUGGGGCCCCUGGGUGGAACCAGCCCUGUCUCAUCACUCAGACCCCUCCAGCAGCCCUACCCCACUGAGAAGGUUUUGUGGGUCACCACACAGCAUCCACUAGUGCAAAGCCCAUUGUUCUCUGUUGUGGAGGGAAAUGCUGGAUCCUCAACAAGACCUUCUCUGCCGGGCUCUAAGAGCAUCCCCUCAGUCCUGAGGCUCGACCAGAAGAGGUGAAGUUAGCAUCUGUGCUCCCUGAGUGUCCUUGUUGAGUAGGUCUGUGUUCCUUUGGUUCAUCAGCAAGGAGCCACCUGCAUCACAUGGACCUGUUGGAGUGCAUCCAGAGGAGUGCCACAAAAGUGAUCCAUGGGAUGGAACACCUUCCCUACGAGGACAGGCUGAGAAAGCCAGGGCUGCUCAUUCUGGAGAAGAGAAGGCUCCAGGGAAGCCUGAGAGUGGCCCUAAAGGGGGCUGUAAGAAAGAAGAGGACAGACUCUUUAGAAGGGUCCCUUGUGAUAAGACAAGGGAAAAUGGUUUCAAAUUAAAAGGGGAAAAUU
rnacentral:lncRNA from 7 species